rnacentral:misc_RNA from 1 species
GAUGAAGAACGUAGUGAAAUGCGAUAAGUAGUGUGAAUUGCAGAAUUCAGUGAAUCAUCGAAUCUUUGAACGCACAUUGCGCCCCUUGGUAUUCCAUGGGGCAUGCCUGUUCGAGCGUCAUUUAAACCUUCAAGCCCUGCUUGGUGUUGGGUGCCUGUCCCGCCCCCGCGCGUGGACUCACCUCAAAUCCAUUGGCGGCCCCCGCAAGGCCACGAGCGCAGCAGAAACGCAAACUCGUGUGCCCGGCGGGCGGCUCCCAGAAGCUACACCCACCAUUUUGACCUCGGAUCAGGUAGGGAUACCCGCUGAACUUAAGCAUAUCAAUAAGCGGAGGA